rnacentral:rRNA from 1 species
GACGAACGCUGGCGGCGUGCUUAACACAUGCAAGUCGAACGGAAAGGCCCUGCUUUUGUGGGGUGCUCGAGUGGCGAACGGGUGAGUAACACGUGAGUAACCUGCCCUUGACUGUGGGAAAACUUCAGGAAACCGGGGCAAAUCCCGGAUAGGCGCUCCGGCGCCAUGGUGGGGGUUGGAAAGUUUCGGCGGGUGGGGAUGGACGCGCGGCUUAUCAGCUUGUGGGUGGGGUGGUGGAUCACCAAGGCUUUGAGUGGUCGGCGGCCUGAGAGGGUGACCGGCCACAUUGGGACUGAGAGACGGCCCAGACUCCUACGGGAGGCAGCAGUGGGGAAUAUAGCACAAUAGGCGGGAGCCUGAGGCAGCGACGCCGCGUGUGGGAUGACGGCCUUCGGGUAGUGAACCGCUUUCGCCUGAGACGAAACGGGAGUGACGGUAAUGGGAAAAGAAGCACCGGCUAACUACGUG